GGGUUGUGAGGUUAAGCGACUAAGCGUACACGGUGGAUGCCCUGGCAGUCAGAGGCGAUGAAGGACGUGCUAAUCUGCGAUAAGCGUCGGUAAGGUGAUAUGAACCGUUAUAACCGGCGAUUUCCGAAUGGGGAAACCCAGUGUGAUUCGUCACACUAUCAUUAACUGAAUCCAUAGGUUAAUGAGGCGAACCGGGGGAACUGAAACAUCUAAGUACCCCGAGGAAAAGAAAUCAACCGAGAUUCCCCCAGUAGCGGCGAGCGAACGGGGAGGAGCCCAGAGCCUGAAUCAGUGUGUGUGUUAGUGGAAGCGUCUGGAAAGGCGCGCGAUACAGGGUGACAGCCCCGUACACAAAAAUGCACAUGCUGUGAGCUCGAUGAGUAGGGCGGGACACGUGGUAUCCUGUCUGAAUAUGGGGGGACCAUCCUCCAAGGCUAAAUACUCCUGACUGACCGAUAGUGAACCAGUACCGUGAGGGAAAGGCGAAAAGAACCCCGGCGAGGGGAGUGAAAAAGAACCUGAAACCGUGUACGUACAAGCAGUGGGAGCACAGAGCAAUCUGUGUGACUGCGUACCUUUUGUAUAAUGGGUCAGCGACUUAUAUUCUGUAGCAAGGUUAACCGAAUAGGGGAGCCGAAGGGAAACCGAGUCUUAACCGGGCGUUAAGUUGCAGGGUAUAGACCCGAAACCCGGUGAUCUAGCCAUGGGCAGGUUGAAGGUUGGGUAACACUAACUGGAGGACCGAACCGACUAAUGUUGAAAAAUUAGCGGAUGACUUGUGGCUGGGGGUGAAAGGCCAAUCAAACCGGGAGAUAGCUGGUUCUCCCCGAAAGCUAUUUAGGUAGCGCCUCGUGAAUUCAUCUCCGGGGGUAGAGCACUGUUUCGGCAAGGGGGUCAUCCCGACUUACCAACCCGAUGCAAACUGCGAAUACCGGAGAAUGUUAUCACGGGAGACACACGGCGGGUGCUAACGUCCGUCGUGAAGAGGGAAACAACCCAGACCGCCAGCUAAGGUCCCAAAGUCAUGGUUAAGUGGGAAACGAUGUGGGAAGGCCCAGACAGCCAGGAUGUUGGCUUAGAAGCAGCCAUCAUUUAAAGAAAGCGUAAUAGCUCACUGGUCGAGUCGGCCUGCGCGGAAGAUGUAACGGGGCUAAACCAUGCACCGAAGCUGCGGCAGCGACACUGUGUGUUGUUGGGUAGGGGAGCGUUCUGUAAGCCUGUGAAGGUGUGCUGUGAGGCAUGCUGGAGGUAUCAGAAGUGCGAAUGCUGACAUAAGUAACGAUAAAGCGGGUGAAAAGCCCGCUCGCCGGAAGACCAAGGGUUCCUGUCCAACGUUAAUCGGGGCAGGGUGAGUCGACCCCUAAGGCGAGGCCGAAAGGCGUAGUCGAUGGGAAACAGGUUAAUAUUCCUGUACUUGGUGUUACUGCGAAGGGGGGACGGAGAAGGCUAUGUUGGCCGGGCGACGGUUGUCCCGGUUUAAGCGUGUAGGCUGGUUUUCCAGGCAAAUCCGGAAAAUCAAGGCUGAGGCGUGAUGACGAGGCACUACGGUGCUGAAGCAACAAAUGCCCUGCUUCCAGGAAAAGCCUCUAAGCAUCAGGUAACAUCAAAUCGUACCCCAAACCGACACAGGUGGUCAGGUAGAGAAUACCAAGGCGCUUGAGAGAACUCGGGUGAAGGAACUAGGCAAAAUGGUGCCGUAACUUCGGGAGAAGGCACGCUGAUAUGUAGGUGAAGUCCCUCGCGGAUGGAGCUGAAAUCAGUCGAAGAUACCAGCUGGCUGCAACUGUUUAUUAAAAACACAGCACUGUGCAAACACGAAAGUGGACGUAUACGGUGUGACGCCUGCCCGGUGCCGGAAGGUUAAUUGAUGGGGUCAGCGCAAGCGAAGCUCUUGAUCGAAGCCCCGGUAAACGGCGGCCGUAACUAUAACGGUCCUAAGGUAGCGAAAUUCCUUGUCGGGUAAGUUCCGACCUGCACGAAUGGCGUAAUGAUGGCCAGGCUGUCUCCACCCGAGACUCAGUGAAAUUGAACUCGCUGUGAAGAUGCAGUGUACCCGCGGCAAGACGGAAAGACCCCGUGAACCUUUACUAUAGCUUGACACUGAACAUUGAGCCUUGAUGUGUAGGAUAGGUGGGAGGCUUUGAAGUGUGGACGCCAGUCUGCAUGGAGCCGACCUUGAAAUACCACCCUUUAAUGUUUGAUGUUCUAACGUGGACCCGUGAUCCGGGUUGCGGACAGUGUCUGGUGGGUAGUUUGACUGGGGCGGUCUCCUCCUAAAGAGUAACGGAGGAGCACGAAGGUUGGCUAAUCCUGGUCGGACAUCAGGAGGUUAGUGCAAUGGCAUAAGCCAGCUUGACUGCGAGCGUGACGGCGCGAGCAGGUGCGAAAGCAGGUCAUAGUGAUCCGGUGGUUCUGAAUGGAAGGGCCAUCGCUCAACGGAUAAAAGGUACUCCGGGGAUAACAGGCUGAUACCGCCCAAGAGUUCAUAUCGACGGCGGUGUUUGGCACCUCGAUGUCGGCUCAUCACAUCCUGGGGCUGAAGUAGGUCCCAAGGGUAUGGCUGUUCGCCAUUUAAAGUGGUACGCGAGCUGGGUUUAGAACGUCGUGAGACAGUUCGGUCCCUAUCUGCCGUGGGCGCUGGAGAACUGAGGGGGGCUGCUCCUAGUACGAGAGGACCGGAGUGGACGCAUCACUGGUGUUCGGGUUGUCAUGCCAAUGGCACUGCCCGGUAGCUAAAUGCGGAAGAGAUAAGUGCUGAAAGCAUCUAAGCACGAAACUUGCCCCGAGAUGAGUUCUCCCUGACCCUUUAAGGGUCCUGAAGGAACGUUGAAGACGACGACGUUGAUAGGCCGGGUGUGUAAGCGCAGCGAUGCGUUGAGCUAACCGGUACUAAUGAACCGUGAGGCUUAACCUUACAACGCCGAAGGUGUUU
rnacentral:rRNA from 8 species